rnacentral:rRNA from 1 species
UACGUAGGGUGCAAGCGUUGUCCGGAAUUAUUGGGCGUAAAGAGCUCGUAGGCGGUUUGUCGCGUCUGCUGUGAAAAUCCAGGGCUUAACCCUGGACCUGCAGUGGGUACGGGCAGACUGGAGUGCGGUAGGGGAGAUCGGAAUUCCUGGUGUAGCGGUGAAAUGCGCAGAUAUCAGGAGGAACACCGAUGGCGAAGGCAGAUCUCUGGGCCGUAACUGACGCUGAGGAGCGAAAGCGUGGGGAGCAAACAGG